GAUCUGGGUUGAAGUUGUGUUGUAGCAAAUGGAUGUCAACAUGGAUGUUGGAAACAAAAAUAAGCUGCAGGGAUCCCUCGCAGUAGCCUCGCACCAUGUUAACUUCUACGAGAAGAGGUGAUAUUAUGGUAUUUCAAGAAGUGAAAACAAGUGCAGCUACGGCCCACUUACGGCCCACUGUGAGAUCAUCACGAGAGCGUAACUUGGAAAUCAAGCGUCUCAUGCAACAGCCACGUGAAGCGAGAAAGCCAACUUGUCUUGGCCACUAAGGCGCGCGACAGCCUCACGCUGCGAGCGUAUCGCGAGGGUGCCUAUGCUAUUUUUAUAGAAAGCAUGUCGGGCAGAGAGAGUUGGACGGCAGUCGGGAGCUAAGGCAUGGGACGGAUUCCAACCAAGAUUCAACCCAAAAACUGAAGUGAGGUAUUUAUGCUCUAUCCAUGUUAUUUAAUGUUAAAUAACAUAAUUAAUGACACCUAAAACUCAUGAUCCUUCUUACAUUUUCUAAAAUUUACCAAGUUCUUCAAAGAAGAUAAGAGUUGGGAUUUGGUCUUAGAGGUAAUUCUCUUGCCUUGCCUUGAUAUAUAGCCUCUAUGAGGUAUGUGUAAGCUAUUUAUGAAGUGUAUUGAUUUCUCAUGGGGAGUUGGGUGGGAUGACAUUAAUGGAGGCUAUUUUUGGUCUAUGGUAAUGAUCAGAACGGGAUGGAUAAGUCAAGGCCUCACCCUAGCUAUUUAAUUAUAUGGAUUAUUGCCUAGACUUGGUUCUGAAAAUGGAGAACAGAUUAUUGACGCAGUUAGGCCAUUGUAUAUGUAAACUGAGGCUUGUUGACAAGUGAAGCCAGCGUAAGGGGGAGACUUGACCUUCUAAGAGUGAUUUUCCCUAAAUGCAUGUCAAAGAAGUAUUAGGGAGAGGUGAUUAGGCAGAACACAACACAUUUUCAGGUUACCGAGGACAUGACCCUCAAUAAGAGAAUGUGGAAGUCGAGGAUUAGGGUAGAAGGUUAGAAGGUAAUCGAGCGUACUUCCUUUCCGUAUCAGUAGUAAUAGUAUUAUUCUCAUAUUUUCUUAUUCUUCGAUUUCUAUUACUACCUGUUGUUUCAUUUGCUUCGGCUAUCUUAUUAUCUUGCUAUUGUUACUGCUUCUUUUUCCAUGGCUUCUCCACUAUCAUAUUUCUUUCUUAAAAUUUUUGUGAUUAUGCUUUUCUUGAGCCGAGGGUCUAUUAGAAACAUCUCUACCUUCACAAGGUAGGGAUAAGGUUUGCAUAUACACUACCCUCCCCAUAACCCACUUAUAAUAUUACACUAGGUAUGUUGUUGUUGUUGUUGCAUGCCUUUAAAGUGUUUGACUUAAUGCAUGAAAGACAUUUUGAAUAUUUUGUGACAUAUGUACAUGCGGGGAAGAGCCUGUGCUAAUGUUGCCAAAUUGCGAAAUACUAAAAAAUAAAUACAAAUGCAUGGAAUAGGAGUCAUUUGGCAUCAAUAUGAUAUUUUGGGAUGAAAAACGAGAUGUUUAGAAAACCUUUGAUACAUAUACCUAAUUCGAAUCGAAUUAUGACGUUUUGGUGGAUACAUGGGUUGUCAUAUGAAUGAUUAGUUGUCUUGAAGGCAUUGUAAUGAAAGAAUUUAUCAUGAUUGUGAGUCAAUGUUCUUGUAUAUAUAAAUGUUCAUGCAUAAAUGAGGUAGAGAUCUCCAAAGCUAUACAAGCUAAUCGUGCCUAUCGAGGUAGAUGCCUCUAAGCUAGAAAGGACUAAUUACUUUUCGAGGGUGAGGCAUCCAAUGCCUAAAAAAACUAAUUGUCGAGGUUGAGGCGUCAAUGUUCUAAGGAGCUAAUUCUCAAGAUUGAGGCCUCCAAACCAUGAUUGUCAAGUAAGAUUCCUUAGACACUAUGCAUGAUAGAUUAUGGUCGUGAUAUAGACCUCCCACGUGCUUAAUGAAUGUUGUGCUUCAAUGCCCAAACAUGAAUGAUGAAUGAUGUUUAAGGUGGAUGCUCAGCUUGCUAGAUUUUUUACGUUGAUGAAGCAUAUAAUGUUUUACCAAAUCUUGUCCCGCCAUUUAGUAUCUAUUUACUAAGUACCUAGCACACUCACUUCCUAAUUGUUGUUUUCUACAGAUAUGGAGGCUCUAAUUGUGGAUACUCUCUCCUUGUUCCGCUACGCAUUCGGUGGGGAGCCUCACUCAUGAUCCGGUGGAGGCCAAUUUUAUAGUUCUGUUCUUUGCAAAGCCAGGUUGCAUCCCGUGUACACUAAACAUUCUUUUGUUAAUCUAGUGGCUCAUGACUAGUCCUUAAUUGGUAAUACAUUCUUUUGGGGUAUAUAUGACAUUGACAUCUUCAUAUGGAACUUUUACUUUAAUGACAAUACGAGGACCUUAUGUGCAAAUAGUUGUUGCCUAAUGGUAAGGUGCCGCCAAGAGCCGCUUUGCAUGUAUAUGAUGGCACAGGGAAACUCGGUUGU
rnacentral:lncRNA from 1 species